GAAAUGCGAUAAGUAAUGUGAAUUGCAGAAUUCCGUGAAUCAUCGAAUCUUUGAACGCACAUUGCGCCCCCUGGUAUUCCGGGGGGCAUGCCUGUCCGAGCGUCAUUGCAACCCUCAAGCGCGGCUUGUGUGAUGGGCCUCGUCCCCCCCGGGACGGGCCCGAAAGGCAGUGGCGGCGUCCGAUCUGGUGCCCGAGCGUAUGGGAACUCUCUUCCGCUCGAACAGGCCCUCUCGGCGCCGGUCGUCACCGAAUCUUCUUACCGGUUGACCUCGGAUCAGGUAGGGAUACCCGCUGAACUUAAGC
rnacentral:misc_RNA from 1 species